ACGCUUUAACCCGCGAUCCGCGAGGCGGACGGCAUUCGCCAGGAACGCCGCUGGUGCUCGUACGCGUGAGGAGGAGGAGGAGGCCCCGCAAACAUCUGUCCUGGUCCCCCGGUCCGUCGCGCCUUCAUCGCGACAUCGUUCUUCUUCUAAGAUCGUAGGAUCAACAGGAUCAUCGUGAUCCAGUCGUGGCGACCGGUGUAUGUGUGCGUGUGUAUGUGUGUGUGUUCCAUGUAUUCAGGAAGGAUCGACAGCGGCGGAUCGAUUAUUGAUAUACCACGACGAGGAGUCGCGCGUGCAACGGGAAUUUCGAGAUCGCGGCACAACCGAUGUCGAUGCCAAGAAUUCGGCAACCAGUUGCGGAUGUGAGUUGGUGUUAAGGCAGAUCCGUUUAGUGUUACCGCGAAUGAUACUUCGGCGCAGGAGCCAGGUGGGACGACAGGUAGAUCGCGUCAAGACGCUAUCAGGAUUCAUCGGCGGAGGCUCGCACGGAUUUUGAAUCUCCAAGAGUGCGCCAAGUAUUUUAUUCUUCCGAUAGAGACAGGUACAGACACCUCGGUGGAUCGAUCUAGAGCGCGUGGCAAAUCGUCAAGUGUCUCGACCGCUGUUGAUUGCGAAUGCCUGACGAUAGUAAUUGCGCAACGGCCAACAUCUCGGAUGAAAAGCGCCUUCUUUAGCGAAGAAAAUGUUGACAAUUGUGGCUUCCUUUAGCAUUAUUUGCGAUCAGUCUUAAAGCUGGUGAAUCAUUAGGUAGAGGAUAGAAACAAUCGUGUCAUGUCGAUCUGCUUGUCAUGUAAGUUUAACAUACGCGAUAUCGAAUUCCUUUGACUCGAUAUCCGUCGUUCAAAUAUCACAACGUGCGCCUUACCGAUAUAUAAAAAAAAAAAAAUAAUAAUAAACGAAAACGAACGACAGGCCUAACUUGGGAUCAACAGAUUAACAAUUUCGAAAAUAGCACGCGACUUUUCUAACGCGUUUGAGGAUCACCAGCCUUCUCGACGAUUUUUCAUAUAUGUGCGCGGGGCUGCUACGCGCGCGCAUUAUCGAAAUGCACGAUUUCCUGCAAAACGGCAGCAGCUGAAAGGUCGUGAUCGAUCGACUCAAUUUGAUAACCCAAAGGAACCUUAAAGUGUGCAAGGUCGUUAUGUAUAGUGAUAAAGCAGGGACUUUCCACGGCUGAAAAGUCAAGAGGGUGAAUCAAGGAGAGGUACCGUAGUACGUGGCCUAUCUACACACGAUGCCGAGAUUUACAAGUGCCCACUCGAGUAACUUGAGAAGAUGCUGACGCGGCGGUAAUCAAAUUCAUUCGAAUCCUGUUCGCGUAAUGUCGAGCCAAGGCCAUCGCGAGAAAGCGUGCUUGGAACUUUGCGAAGCGCGCAGCAUCGAUUGCAAGAUCUUCACGAUGCCCCACGUGAUUUCGAAAGGAGAUCCGCGACGACAGAGCGUAAAUCAGUGAAACAAUAACACGGGAUCCGUCGAUCGAGAGUAAGAAUAACGCAAGUUGCACCUUCGGCGCAAAUUAUAUCCUAAUUUUUUGUAUCGAGCAACUCAUAUCGUUCGAUGAAAUCCCAUCGGUCUACAUAGUUACCUGACGAUUAUACAUCGAAUUUCGAAACGCAAACAAGUUAGGAAACGGCCUUGCUCAAUGCUUCCUAGCGAAAGACGGAAUCGCAAUCAAGUUCACUUGAUCUCUGAUACCCUGCCGGACAAAUCGUCCACGCGGAAACCGAUGAUCGAUGCAUGUCUGCUCGACAGUUGAUCCUGGAGGAUCAAAAAUCCCUUCCCUCCCCCUAUAAGUCACGUCUAACGAAGCGAUGAUCGGUCUGUAGAUCGGCGCGCUCGAUGAAUCGUCGCAGAAUCGAGCAUCGAACAGCAGCCAGCACCACCCGAAGAAGAAGAAGAAGAAGAAGAAGAAGAAGUCGUAGAAGGAGCUUAGCCGCGUAGCGUCGUCUCGAUUACGAGAGAGCCGUCCCGGGUGAUGCGCGGAAGCAGCUCCGAACUCCUGCUGGAGGCGAGCUGCAGCCAGUGCCAGAGCGAUUACGAUCGGGGACAUCAAGGUCGGGACAGCGGCGGCGAGCACGACUUCCACGAGCGGGAGCUACGUCGUCGCAAGCUGUUGGAGCUCGGGUUCGGCGCGUCGCGGCGCCGACCGCCACGGCGUACCUGCCGUCAGCGGUUUAAUUUCUACGCGACAUCGGCGCUGGCCUUCGUCGCCACCUCAGGCGGCGCGGCACUCCUCUUCCUGGUGCCGCUCUACGUCGACCCAGCCAUCAGCACCCUAGCGGCGGACUUCUCGCCGGAGCCGGUGAUCUGCACAACCUCGCGGCGCGAGGACCUUGCUGGUCUCUUCAACUGCACAUGGAGCUCGUGCCGCGAGGGAUGCACCAGUGAUGUGUACAGUUGCACCCACAUAUACGUCACGUACACGCCGUGGAGUAACGCCAGUAUGAAGAACGACACCGGCGGCAGGAACAUCACCGCGAACACCACGGCUGAUCUCACAGGCACCGUCACUGCCGUGUCCUCUCCGGGGGACAUCGAGGCGGUGCUGCUGGUGAACAUCAAGGGUUGCGGAUAUCCGCCGGUAGUCGAUUGCAAGAACUUCACCCGCGAGUUGGGUUACGAAGGCGCGAAGUUUCCUUGCCAUUAUAGCCGGGUGAACGGUAGCAUAGUGAUGGCGAACUAUAAUCGCGAGGCACAGGUCGCUACCAUCAUGCACUUCUUCGCGGCGCCUUUCGUAGUGACUCUCGCGACCAGCGUCGCGCUGUGUGUGAUGCACUGUGACUGCAGGUGCACGCCACCACCGCGACAUCCGCCGCGCGGCAUGAGAAGAUCCAGGGGCAACGACCUCAGCUGCUGCAUGAGUAUAAAAAAUCGAUAACGAGUUAGAAGUGUGCCAGAAGUCAUCCGAUUUAGAAGGUGUAUUUGACGAGGCAAAUAAACUUUCUAAACUGUACAUAAGACAAAGAUGACUUAACAAUGAUGUUACUACCACCGUACUUACUGUCGUCGUGAAACGAUGCUAAACUCUUUUGGCUGCAAAUACUGCCUUAGAAGAAAAGAGCGAAUUGCAGAAACGGAAAUCGGAUAUCGAUUCAUCAUCUCUCUCUUGUAAUCUCCGCUAAUUAGCUCCAAAAGGCGUAUUCAUCUCAUUAAACGAGUGCGCUGCCAAAAGCCGUGACGGCGCUCUCCGUGCAACGCAAUGAACAUGUAAAAAGAGAUCUCUAAUUGUCGAUCGGAUGCCGUAAGUAAUUCCGUGCACUCGGAGUAUAAUCGACAGCUCUCUCUCUCUCUCACGAACAUUGAUAUGUUGCGUGAACAAGUAUUGAGCAGCGCGUAACUCGUGUAACUCGCGUAAUCUGCCAAUUCUUCCGAAUGUCUUUUCUCCUCUCCCCUUAAUUUUUCUUCUCAAUUAAGUCGUUGAGCGAAACGAGUCAUAUAUAUUAAGUAAGUUACAUUUUUCUCAUUAAAGUAAGAGGUUUUGUAAAAGUGCCUCAUGUAAAAUCCUGUUAAUGUAUUAUAGCAAUUUUUCUAGAUGAACAGGACUGCCUAAAGUACUUGAAUAGAAUAUCUCAAUAAAACAACUUGAAAUAAAAAUACUAAAAAUUUAGAAUCACAUCAGAAUUAUCGACUGUCAUACUGCCUAAAAUAUACGACUUACAAUUAUUGACUUAUCGAAUCUGUCGAUCACUAUUUCGCUCAACUGCUGAAUUUUCGCUAUCGCAUGCCCCUUGCACAGAUCAAUGCUAUGUUAAGAGAAAUAAAAGGGACCAGACUGUUGAACCAAAAAAUCACGUGUCAUCAAGAAGCUAAUGUAUUAUAAUAACAGCCCGUACGGCAGCAAGAACGGAAAAAAUUAUAUGUAUUGUUAUUUCUAAAUGUAUUGUCAUCUCUCAUGCGUACUUUGUACACACCGAAGAAUCGUUGGAAAUGGACUUAUCGAGUUUUGCGCUACGACUCUACGAGGGUAAGAUAUUAAAUCCACAUCCAAGUAACGGCAAAUGUAAGAAGUUGAUGUGCGAUUGUAGCCAAAAAUCAUUUCUACUGUGAAAGCAUCGCGAUUCAACGAGACGCGCGUCUCGAGAGCUCAUUCCCUCUCCAAAAGCUACCUUGUUAUCUUUCUACUUUCGACCGUUUGUCAUUUCCACGACGAUGGUAUUAGAAGAGGAGGAUCGGGGGUGGCAAGGAUGACAGCUAGCAAAUGGCAGCCUCGGCUGUCAUACAUCAGAUUUGGAAUAACCGGCGACCCUGGCCGUGUUAUAUUUCUCUCUUUCUUCUAUUUCUCUCUCUCUCUCUCUCUCUCUCCCUUUCUCUCUCUCUCUCUCU